CUUCACGGACCCCAGCCACAGCGGUCGUUCACGAUCCCGCCCGUACGUGGCCAGCAGCGCGUCCGCCUC
rnacentral:antisense_RNA from 1 species